CGCGAGGGGCGUCCUAGGGUAAUACCGGUGACUGGGGCUAAGUCGUAACAAGGUAGCCGUACCGGAAGGUGCGGCUGGAACACCUCCUUUCUGGAGUUCGUUACGUUUGCACAGGGAAGGAUUUUAUGUAUAAGACGACUUGUGCUCUCUUUUGUUUCUAUGAUUUUCGAUAUAGGUGUUAGUUCUGUUUAUGGCUCUUUCAUUUUAUCAGAGUCUUCUGCAGUGAAUAUUUUAGCAGUGGGGGGGGAUAGGAGAGUGUUUUGUAUAGGUGGCUAACAUCAUGGAGACCACUGGGAGAUGGGCGUUAUUAUUUUCCGUGUGUUUUCAGGCAGUCGAUGCAGUCCUAUAGCUCAGUUGGUUAGAGCUGCUACACUGAUAAUGUAGAGGUCGGCAGUUCAACUCUGCCUGGGACUACGGGGGAUUAGCUCAAGCUGGCUAGAGCACCUGCUUUGCAAGCAGGGGGUCAUCGGUUCGAAUCCGAUAUUCUCCACAUUUCUUAUUAGGGGAGGAUCUUCUAAUAGGGAAGCGAUCUUUGACGUAAUGAUAGAACAAAAACAAUAGAGCAAAAAGAAAACAACCCGUGUGUAGGAUUAACCACACUACUAUAAGGCGAAUUUGAUAAGGGC
rnacentral:misc_RNA from 1 species